ACACGGCGACGGAGAUCGUCCCGUGCCGUCCACCCGAGGCAGUGCCGUACUCCUCGUGAGCACGGAUCAGCGGCGGUUGGACCGGAGCCACAAGGCGGCGGAGGAAGGUGAGUCGACACGGGCCAGCCCUGCGUCGACAGCUUACAGCCCCGUCGUACGGCGCUCCGGCCCGACCGAGGAAAACGGGCAGCCCUUGCCCACCGAGGCACACGCCGAAUGGCGGGGCCUCCCGAUGCGAGUGAACCGUGCGGUGUGGACUGCACGCAGUGCAAAUCGUGGCGGCGAUCUCGUGGCGGUGAGCGCCACACGUGUGCCAGUGCUGCUGGUAUUCAGAC
rnacentral:misc_RNA from 1 species